UCAAAUGAUGUGUUCAAUAAAAAACUUUU
rnacentral:piRNA from 1 species